AGCAAAAUGGGCAAGUCAUCCCAUCUGAAAGUUCAGUGCUGAUAACGCAUAGAUGGUUGUCAAAGUUCUUUGGUUGCU
rfam:Oryza punctata chromosome 2, whole genome shotgun sequence.